ACCUCACAAAACUACAGAUCCCAGCAUUCCCCAUGACAUUUAAAAGCGGCCCGAAAGCGGAUUAUCCUGGUGCCGUGCGCAAAGGCAAGCCCUGAGGGAGAAGGGCUGCCGUAGCAGCAGCAGCAGCAGCAGCAGCAGAGAAAGGGUUAACCUUCCCGCCCGCCUCUGUCUCCAGGGGUGACGUCACGGGGUCAAGGGGAGCCGGAAGUGGCUGCAGGGAGGGGGCGGGGCGGGGGUUUGAAUCCCCGCCCACCGUCCUCCUCUCCGGGACUCGGAGAGAGCAGCUCCUGCCUGGAGUCAGGGCUCUCUCUCUCUCGGGAGGGUCUGGGCCCCGGGCGGGGAGCCUGGCCAGCCCCUGGGGGAAGCCCCAUCCUGGGCCAGGCGCGGGGGCUCUGUCGGCAGCGCCGGAAAUGCCAAGGAUGGAAUAGAUUCAACACAAACAGCUGCCCUUCCUGCAAGACACCCAGGUCAUGCCUUCGUCCGUUGGGCUGGAGGGCCCUCGCAGUCUCUUCCAACUCUGCCGUUCUAUGAGUCUCUCCCUUGUCUUUCAGGUCUGACAGAAAUCCAGUGUGGCUUGGAGUCCUCCCAGAAGAGAUCCAUCCAAAUUCCUAUUUCUUAGGGUGCAAACACAUCCAUGGGGCAAAAUGCUCUCCACCAACACCCCCCCCCCCAAACUCAAUGCUAUUAAAAGCACUCCUCUGCCAUUAA